rnacentral:rRNA from 1 species
UACGGAGGAUGCGAGCGUUAUCCGGAUUUAUUGGGUUUAAAGGGUGCGUAGGCGGACUGUCAAGUCAGCGGUAAAAUUGAGAGGCUCAACCUCUUCCCGCCGUUGAAACUGGUGGUCUUGAGUGGAUGAGAAGUACGCGGAAUGCGUGGUGUAGCGGUGAAAUGCAUAGAUAUCGCGCAGAACUCCGAUUGCGAAGGCAGCAUACCGGCGCCCUACUGACGCUGAGGCACGAAAGCGUGGGUAUCGAACAGG